CCUACGGGAGGCAGCAGUGAGGAAUAUUGGUCAAUGGGCGCGAGCCUGAACCAGCCAAGUCGCGUGAGGGAAGACGGUUCUAUGGAUUGUAAACCUCUUUUGUCGGGGAGCAAAAGACGCCACGCGUGGCGUUCCGAGAGUACCCGAAGAAAAAGCAUCCGCUAACUCCGUGCCAGCAGCCGCGGUAAUACGGAGGAUGCGAGCGUUAUCCGGAUUUAUUGGGGUUAAAGGGUGCGAAGGCGGAAGAUCAAGUCAGCGGGAAAAUUGAGAGGCUCAACCUCUUCGAGCCGUUGAAACUGGUUUUCUUGAGUGAGUGAGAAGUAUGCGGAAUGCGUGGUGUAGCGGUGAAAUGCAUAGAUAUCACGCAGAACUCCGAUUGCGAAGGCAGCAUACCGGCGCUCAACUGACGCUCAUGCACGAAAGUGUGGGUAUCGAACAGGAUUAGAUACCCGAGUAGUC
rnacentral:rRNA from 1 species